GAGAAGGAGCUCCUCCUCCUCCUUCUUCUUCCUCCUUCUUCCUCCUUCUCCUUCUCCUUCUUCUUUUCUUCUUCUUCUUCUCCUUCUCCUUCUUCUUCCUCCUUCUUCCUCCUUCUCCUUCUCCUUCUUCUUCUCCUUCUCCUGCUUCUUUUCUUCUUCUUCUCCUCUUCCUUCUCCUUCUCCUCCUCCUCCUCCUCCUCCUUCUUUUACUUCUUCUUCUCUAU
rnacentral:lncRNA from 1 species